AUUGAACGCUGGCGGCAUGCCUUACACAUGCAAGUCGAACGGCAGCACGGGAGCAAUCCUGGUGGCGAGUGGCGAACGGGUGAGUAAUAUAUCGGAACGUGCCCAGUCGUGGGGAUAACGUAGAGAAAUUUACGCUAAUACCGCAUACGAUCUAAGGAUGAAAGCGGGGGACCGUAAGGCCUCGCGCGAUUGGAGCGGCUGAUAUCAGAUUAGGUUGUUGGUGAGGUAAAAGCUCACCAAGCCGACGAUCUGUAGCUGGUUUGAGAAGAACGACCAGCCACACUGGGACUGAGACACGGCCCAGACUCCUACGGGAGGCAGCAGUGGGGAAUUUUGGACAAUGGGCGAAAGCCUGAUCCAGCAAUGCCGCGUGCAGG
rnacentral:rRNA from 1 species